rnacentral:rRNA from 1 species
CAAUAGCGUAUAUUAAUGUUGUUGCAGUUAAAAAGCUCGUAGUUGGAUCUCUAACGCACGCGGCCGGUCCGCCCCUCACGGGGUGUGCACUGCGCCGUCGUGCGUUAUCCUGGGGGAGAGCGUCCCGCGCAUUAGGUUGUGUGGGUCGGGAUCCUCCACGUUUACUCAAAAUAAAUAAGAGUGUUCAAAGCAGGCGAUUGCUGUGAAUUCUUCAGUUGGGAAUAAUAAGAUAGGACUCGGGGACUAUUUUGUUGGUUUGCAUCUCCGAGUAAUGAUUAAUAGGGACAGUUGGAGAUAUUCAUAUUCAGUUGUCAGAGGUGAAAUUCUUGGAUUUACGGAAGAUGAACUACUGCGAAAGCAUUUAUCGAGGAUGUUUUCUUUAAUCAAGAACGAAAGUUAGGGGAUCGAAGAUGAUCAGAUACCAU